rnacentral:rRNA from 1 species
CCUACGGGAUGCAGCAGUGAGGAAUAUUGGUCAAUGGACGGAAGUCUGAACCAGCCAUGCCGCGUGCAGGAAGACGGCUCUCUGAGUUGUAAACUGCUUUUGUACAAGGGUAAACCUGAGUACGUGUAUUCCGCUGAAAGUACUGUACGAGUAAGGAUCGGCUAACUCGGUGCGCGCCGCCGCGGUAAUACGGAGGAUCCCAGCGUUAUCCGGAUUUAUUGGGUUUAAAGGGUGAGUAGGCGGAUUGAUAAGUUAGAUGUGAAAUGUCCGGGCUUAACCCGGGAAAUGCAUCUAAGACUGGUGACGUAGAGAGUAGAUACGGAAGGCGGAAGGUAUGGUGUAGCGGUGAAAUGCUUAGAGAUCAUACAGAACACCGAUGGCGAAGGCAUGUUACCAAGGUAUAUCUGACGUUGAGGCACGAAAGUGUGGGGAGCAAACAGGAUUAGAUACCCUGGUAGUC